ACUCCUACGGGAGGCAGCAGUGGGGAAUAUUGGACAAUGGGGGGAACCCUGAUCCAGCCAUGCCGCGUGUGUGAAGAAGGCCUUAUGGUUGUAAAGCACUUUAAGCGAGGAGGAGGCUACUCUAGUUAAUACCUAGGGAUAGUGGACGUUACUCGCAGAAUAAGCACCGGCUAACUCUGUGCCAGCAGCCGCGGUAAUACAGAGGGUGCGAGCGUUAAUCGGAUUUACUGGGCGUAAAGCGUGCGUAGGCGGCUUAUUAAGUCGGAUGUGAAAUCCCCG
rnacentral:rRNA from 1 species